GAUGGUGUCUGCCAGUGUCUGUGUCAGCACGCCCACACCAGGCCACAACAAUGGCCGCCACCAAUGUCCCAGUCCCUGGAGAGGUCUCACCUCUCACCAAGAUGCAAUCAGAGCCUAUCAGGAAACUUGCAGUAGAAGAGACAUUCAAGACCACAAUCAUGAAAGGGACAGAAGCAAGACUAGAAAUGGGCUGGAACUGAGGCAGACUGCAGAUGAGGG